AACGAACGCCGGCGGCAGGCCUAAAACAUGCAAGUCGAACGCCCUAGCAAUAGGGAGUGGCGCACGGGUGAGUAACGCGUGGGAACGUACCUCUAGGUGAGGAACAACGUCGGGAAACUGACGCUAAUACCUCAUAAUAUCUUCGGAUCAAAGAUUUAUCGCCUAGAGAUCGGCCCGCGUUAGAUUAGCUAGUUGGUGAG
rnacentral:rRNA from 1 species